rnacentral:rRNA from 1 species
CCUACGGGAGGCAGCAGUGAGGAAUCUUGGUCAAUGGGCGCAAGCCUGAACCAGCCAAGUAGCGUGAAGGAUGACUGCCCUACGGGUUGUAAACUUCUUUUAUAAAGGAAUAAAGUGAGGCACGUGUGCCUCUUUGUAUGUACUUUAUGAAUAAGGAUCGGCUAACUCCGUGCCAGCAGCCGCGGUAAUACGGAGGAUCCGCGCGUUAUCCGGAUUUAUUGGGUUUAAAGGGAGCGUAGACGGGUUGUUAAGUCAGUUGUGAAAGUGUGCGGCUCAACCGUAAAAUUGCAAUUGAUACUGGAAGUCUUGAGUACAGUUGAGGUAGGCGGAAUUCGUGGUGUAGCGGUGAAAUGCUUAGAUAUCACGAAGAACUCCGAUUGCGAAGGCAGGUUACUAAACUGCCACUGACAUUGAUGCUCGAAAGUGUGGGUAUCAAACAGGAUUAGAUACCCGUGUAGUC